GUUACCGUUUGACGAGAAUACAUCUAGAACAACUUGAUCCGUGGCAAGCUUGCUCUUUCUGCAUGCCUAGGAUCUUAGCCAUUCGGGCAGGCCGAAGAACUCUUUUAGACUCCUGCUGAUUUAUGUUGGUAUUAGGAGUUGGAACUGCAUCAAACUCUGAUAUUUAGAUUCACAACCACAGAGUCUGUCUCUGCCCAGCAGACAAUUUUAAAAAGAAGAAAGGAACUGGAUGUUUUUUAACAGCUCUUAAAACACUGAGGCUGAAUCAAGUCUGGAGCUAGCGUAAAGCAAGGAAGGUGGGAUCUAAGCCCAAAUUCUUGCUCCUGUCUCGGAGAAUGGGCUUCUGGGCCAUUCCUGCAACCAACCAUUAACUUGUCACUCAGUAGAGCUGGGAAGGAGGAGGAUUUAUUUGUUAACCAACUCAUUCGUUGCCUUUGGGAGUCAGUGUGUGUGCUUGUGUGUGUGUGUGUGUGUGUGCACAGCACACGCAUGCACUAAUGAUUUUCCCUUGACUCACCAGGCUUUACAAUAAUGAGUUGGACUCCUCUGGAAAUCAUUCUUAACACAAUCGACCAGCCACACACCAUUUGGUCCCCUUGAUUUUCAGGAUCCCGGGCAGCCAGGCAAACCAUGACACUAGUGCAGGCCAGUGAAGGGAGAGCGGAAGUGAUGUGUGUUACCUCCAGGCUAAGAAAGAGAAAAGCCCUCUGCCACUCUCUGACCCUGCCUGUCCCCCAGCAGCCCGGAUCCCUGCAGGACUGUGUGGACCAGAGCCCCAGUGCAUGUGUUCUGUGGGUGAGAACACAGGUCUGUGGACCCGUGCGCUUGGAAGCCAGAGGUCUGGGGGUUGGGUUAUUCAAGCAUAACCUAACAAACACAGUCAGGACACAUAGUUCUGCAGUCUGAAAUUCUGUCUUCAAUUUUAACAAAAAAUGAAAAAUUUAAAAUUAUUUUUUUGGUGACUCAAUUAA